rnacentral:rRNA from 1 species
GUAGGUGGCAAGCGUUGUCCGGGAAUUAUUGGGGCGUAAAGCGCGCGCAGGCGGUUCUUUAAGUCUGAUGUGAAAGCCCACGGGCUCAACCGUGGAGGGUCAUUGGAAACUGGAGAACUUGAGUACAGAAGAGGAGAGCGGAAUUCCACGUGUAGCGGUGAAAUGCGUAGAGAUGUGGAGGAACACCAGUGGCGAAGGCGGCUUUCUGGUCUGUAACUGACGCUGAGGCGCGAAAGCGUGGGGAGCAAACAGGAUUAGAUACCCUGGUAGUCCACGCCGUAAACGAUGAGUGCUAAGUGUUAGGGGGUUUCCGCCCCUUAGUGCUGCAGCUAACGCAUUAAGCACUCCGCCUGGGGAGUACGGCCGCAAAGGCUG